AAUGCCAUAUUUCUUCAGGCAAGAUAUUCCGAAUCCCUUAACCAGCCCUGCAAGUCCAAAUGCUGCACCACGACGCUCUCCGUAUUUUUCACUCUUCAUUAGCUGAUCCAAAAGCCUAGAAACCAGAGAUGGUGCAUCCUCCUGUUUUGCUUGCAUAAGUGGAGAAAGGCAGGUAGCGACAGCUCGCUGAACAGCUUCAGACGGAGUAUUCAGUACAUCCAGCAACUUCUCUACAACUGUGUGAACCUUAGGGUCAUCCUUGGCCAAAUGCUUUGCCAAAGCUCCAGUAAAUAUAACCACACCUUCACGGACCAGAUCAUACUUCUCCUCAUCUGAAGCCUUUUUGUUCAAGUAGUUUUCGAAAAUAGGGA
rnacentral:misc_RNA from 1 species